UACGUAGGGUGCAAGCGUUGUCCGGAAUUAUUGGGCGUAAAGAGCUCGUAGGCGGUUUGUCGCGUCCGCUGUGAAAGUUCGGGGCUCAACCCCGGAACUGCAGUGGGUACGGGCAGACUAGAGUGCGGGAGAGGAGACUGGAAUUCCUGGUGUAGCGGUGGAAUGCGCAGAUAUCAGGAGGAACACCAGUGGCGAAGGCGGGUCUCGGGGCCGCAACUGACGCUGAGGAGCGAAAGCGUGGGGAGCGAACAGG
rnacentral:rRNA from 1 species